rnacentral:lncRNA from 1 species
GCAGACACAUAGAGUAACGGCCACACGAGGACCAGGGAGGUGACAGCCAUCUGCAGACAGAGGGGAGAGGCCUCACAGGGAACUAGCCCUGCGACACCUCGAUCUCAGGCUUCUGGCUUCCAGGAUGUGAGGCCAUAAACACUGUCUGCUGUUUAAGUCACCCUACCUGUGUUUUUUGUUGUGGCCACACAGGAGCUCUGACACCUCGGGGUACAGCCUGCGGAAUGGUGGGUGGGGUGGUCUGCAUUCCAGUGGCCUGGUCACUGCACUGGUGAAGAGAAGCAGUCACAGGGUAGGUGCAGGAGUCCAGGGCUCCAGGACCCCAGCAUCCAGGAGGCAGGGGACAUUUUGGCUGGGGCAGUGGUGAGAAGCAGUCCAAUAUAAAAUCAUUAUAAACUUCAAGGUGACAGCCAUGGAGCAUUAAACCCCUUGGGUGGGGUCCUUCUGAAUGUGGAGGAAGCUGCUGGUGCAGCAGACACAUCUCACUGGACAUCACGUGAGUGAGCUCUUUUAUUCUUAAGACACUGAAAUCGGUGGGAGGUGCUCCUGCAGCAUAGCCCUAACCUGUGGCAACUCUUGUCUGUAUUCCCACUUUACAGAGGCAGAAACUGAGGGUUUGGGAGCAAGGCUUGGGGGAGGGACUGAGCAGGCAAGAGCAAAUCUGGAUUCCGAGCCCAGCUGUUGGUUCUGCUGAGCUCAGUGGUUUUAAAUGUUACGACAUCGCUGGUGAUGGGUGAUGGCAGCCUGACCAGGCAGGAGUGACUGUGUCCUGAGCCCUCCCCCACCCAACGGGAGUGCUAGAAACUUGGCGAGGGGCACUCCCCUGCAGGAGUGUCUGCCCCCCUUUCAGCUCUGUUUGGAGAAGGAUUUAACAUGUUCUGACACAGACGGACUUUCUCUUCGACUUGUGCAGUGAUUUCCCCCAGCCUCUAGGCUGACCCUGGGUUCUGGAAGCAGAGAGGCACAGACCGAGGUGGCGCCAGCCUGUGCAUCAGUGCAGGAGAGGAGGAUGCACAGCCCAAGGAUGUGCCAAGGGUGGGGACCAGACAGAACAGCCCUGCUCCUCCCCAUUCUGCUCACCUCUUCCCGCCAGCUCACUCCCAUCCAGGAGCCCACACGGAGCCCAGGAUCUUCAUCUGCAAGGUCCCAGCACACACAGCACACCCCACCCCCCCCGACUGGGGAGGGGUUGAUUUCUGUGCAGCCAGGCACAGAGGCCCUUCCUGUCCCCUCAGGGCUGAAGAGCCCUCUGGGGCUCAGGAGCUGCUGUUUCCUCUCACUCCCCUGGAGAACCUCUCUGGGUUUGUCAGAUGCUAGAGAAGCCCCGGGAGCAUGUCUGGUUCGCGUUUGAACAAUAUCCAUCACAUUCCUGCGUGGGAUAAAGGUUGAGAGCUCUGCCUAUUUCAUGCCUGAGUGACAAAUUAAGUCUUCAGACCCCGAGGACUCCAGGUAUGGAGCGAUGGCUCAGGACACAGGGUCCUGACAAAGCAUGGUCUGAGCCAUCACUCAGGGCCCCACUCCUUGAGCUGGAGCUGGGGCAGCUCCUCAUUUCCUGGGGGUGUACUUGCCACCAGCUAUGGUCCCAGGACUCAGUCUCUUUUCCUGCUUGUGGUUUAGCGCCUGCAAGGGCUGAGUCAUAAAGGUCUUUACUGAGCACCAUCCAAGUAUCAUGACCUGCUGCCUGGGUCUGCACCCAUGUUGGGGGUUGGGGGUGGUCUCUAUUCGCUGGGGGCUCAUGGAGGAGGUGCUGAGCACAAGCUCAGAGGUCUGGCCUGCCUGAGGUCAAAUCCAUCCUCGCAGCCACGUAACGCAGGCAAUGAUGUUACUGCUCAGACUCAGUCUGCUCGCCUGUAAAAUGGGAACAGUCGUCAUAUGGGCAUCACAGAGUUUAUGAGGAUUGAUGGACAAACCCAUUUAGAGCAGCACAGACACCACAGCCCUCCAUCAGUGACAAACAAUAUAAUUACUGUUAUAUAAAUAUUGCUGAUGAUACGUUUGCUGCUAUAUCAUCCUGCAGCCCAUCUGCAAAUCACCUAGCCUCCACUGCCCACUGUACCAUGUCCCUAGGGUGCCCAGGGCACUGGUUCUGGUGGGGUGGUUGGGAAGCAGAGAAGAGCUUGUGGGGUGGUAGUCCCGGGCAGCUCUUGGAGUGAUGUCCUUGGUCCCAACCUGAGGGUCACUGCUCACUCUGGAUCCCUGUGGGCUUAGGAUUGGGACUCAAGUGACUCCAGGAGCCUUCAGAUCUCCCCAGAAGGCAUGGCUGGUGGACGUGUGACGAAGUCACUCGUGCCAUGGGUCCUGGCAUCCUGGCCCUGGACAGUUCACCACCUCUACCCUGGCAGCCUUUGUCCAGCAUCUCCUCCCCAGAACCCCAGGCAGACCCCACAGCCCUCACCUCUCUGCCCAGAGGGCCUGGAUGGAUUGGUCAGCUGUGUGGCUGGUCACAGUUCACAGACGGGACAGAUGGGAGGUGAGGUCUCACUCCUGCCAAGGCCAAGGAGCGUGUGCUUGCGUCAGUGCGAGUGCAAGAAAUGUGCGUGUGUGCACCUGCCGCUAUUGUUACAAUAUCCCAGUUUGAGCAUUGUUGUUGAUCCUAUUAGUUAUAAUAACAACACCACACCCUUCGGGAACUUCCACUAUCCACCAGCCCCAGUACUAGGAUAUGUGAACAGAUAGAUGAUCGAUUCAGUUAAUCGUCUCGACAACCUUCUUGUUUACAGAAGCAUUGUUCACAGAAGAAUAAGCAAACAAGCCAACGGCUUUGGAGAGUGGGUAAAAAAAAGUGCAGAACGUGUGGAUUCUGUCCAAGAAAGUAAAUGAAGAAACUGCCAAUGGACUCUUUAGCACAGAUUGACCAGCAAAAGCCUAAAUUGAAGGAACACGAUGAGCAAAUCACAGGUGAUCAGGGCUGGAGGGUUGCACCCCGUAAAUUUGCAGAGCGGCAAAAUCACCUCCCGUGUGUGUCGGUUGCGGGAAGAGGGCCUAAAACAUAACCAAAAGCAAGGGGGAGAGACAGGAUGGAGGACUGUGGUUACCUCGGAGGAAGGGGGAUGGAGGUCGGGAGGGACUCAGGGACACCGCGGCCCUGAUGAUGCUCCAGAGAUGAGCCCCCCAGCCUGUGAGCCGCCAGCCAUGGGGAGUGUGUCAAUGUAACCCACGCCAUCAGCUCAGGUCACUCCAGGUCUUCCCACAGCCAUGGACAUGGCAGUGAUGGCAGACGGGAGUCAUGGAGCCCAGGAACAGGCUCCUUCCUCAGCCCACUGGUGACCUUGUCUCUGUCCUCUCAUGACCGGUCCAGAAUGGUCAGGGCCCUGCCUUCAAAGAGGCUUUGGAGCCGAUUCUCCAGGGUGAUUAUGUUACUAAAUUAACCUAAACUCAUUAAUCCCACCUGCACUAGCUGGAGACAAGGGUGUGAGGGUUGCUAUGGCACCAUCACCAUGGUACCCGAGCCCCCAGUGACUCACAUCAAUUGUGUGACUGUGGAGGGGACAGAACAGCAUCAGUACAGCUGUGCAGGAUGCCCACAGGGCAUGAACCUCUGCCUCACCUCUGUCCCCUGACCCCCUUACUGGGGACAUCCAGGUUCCCUAGCCUCCUCUCUACCUGUGCCUGGGGCCACAGGGCCAGGUGCACAAGGCAGGGUCUCCCUCCUCCCCUCUCCCCGGACCCUGCCUGGGGGCUUCCAUGUCAGUCUGUCUGUCCACACAAGAAGGCUGCCUUCCCCUGCCUGGACCCCACAGACAGCUUCCAUGGGGGGAGCAGAGAGCAGAGGAACCACUGUGUCUCCCCUACCAACCCUCCUGAGCCCCCCUCACCUGAGGCCAGCCCGGUCCCAUCGGCCUCCACAGCACCUGCCUCUGUCCACCACAGCCCCCUCCUACCUGGACAAGACGUUUCCCCUUCACCAGGUGGGGGGAGUGGGGAGGCAGGUGGACGCUGGGGCGGGAAGCCUGUGGUUGUGUUCCUGCCUGCCACACCUGGCUGCUCAGCCAAGAUGGAGCGACCACUCCUCCCUGACCUGUCCUGGGCUCUUGGCCUCAUCUGGGCUGCAGGAGGUCAGACCUGGUUAGAGCUUGCCUGGUUCUCCAACCCUGAUAAGCAGGUGGGCAGUGACGGUCCCUGUCAGAAAGGGAGCUCUGGGUCCCAAGUCCAGGGCUUUUUCUGCUCCUUCUGGGGCAGGUGUGUGUGUGUGUGUGUGUGUGUGCACACGUGCGCGUGCGUGUGUGCGUCCGUGCACUGUAUGUGUGUGAACACGAGCAUGUGUGCACCUGUGUGUCCGUGCACCUUCCUAGUGUCUCCUCGGGAACCACACUCCCAGUCCAUCCAUUUUCCAGCCACAGUGAACUGGCUCCAUGAUGAGCACAGGCUGGUCCACAAGGUCCUCCUUUGCUGGCGCUCAGGAAAGAAGUGCUUUAUCUUCCGUAAAUGAUGGGCUGUUGUGGCCAUUUCUGCUGACCUCCCAGCUUGGGGAGCCUGGUCAGAGGGGAGCACCGUCUCAGAGAGUUUACUUCAUUGCAUCUGACACUUUGCACCAGCUGUUUGUGGGACGGGGGCGGGGCUCCCCCUCCAUCCCUCCCACACUGCACCUGGAGUGGUCUCAGCAAUUUGUCCCUUUGAUAGCAGCUGAUAAUUCAUUGAAAUGGAGUUCCACGGGGUGCAGGCUGAUUAAGCCUGCUAAUGAGAAGGCAGGUGUGGGUCCCCCAACCCAGCCCUCAUCAGCUCCUACAGUAUCUUCCUCUAACUUCCAUGAUUGCCCUGAGCAGUCUCAGAGGCUGGCCCCUUUUUAAAAUAGGAGGGGCCCUCUCGGUCCCAAGACACCAGGGGAGCAGGUCAAGGGCUCCUGGCGUUUCUUUUUUUUUGUUUUUUGGCCGAACCCUUGGCUUGUGGAAGUUCCUGGGCCAGGCAUCAACCUAGAGCCACAGCCAUGACCUGAGCUGCUGCUUCUUUUUGUUUUUUUUUUUAAUGUGGCUAAUAAAAAAUUCAAGCCAUG